rnacentral:tRNA from 1 species
GCGGCGAUAGCUCAGCGGUAGAGUCACCGCUUUGCGUACGGGGGCACCCGGGUUCGAUUCCCGGCUGCUUCC